rnacentral:rRNA from 1 species
GAGUUUGAUUCUGGCUCAGGAUUAACGCUGGCGGCAUGCCUAACACAUGCAAGUCGAACGGAGAUAGCAAUAUCUUAGUGGCGAACGGGUGAGUAACGCGUGAGUAAUCUGCCCUGCAUUACGGGAUAACACAAAGAAAUUUGUGCUAAUACGGUAUGAAACAUAGCAUCGCAUGAUGCAAUGUUAAAAGAUUUAUCGAUGCAGGAUGAGCUCGCGUCCCAUUAGCUAGUUGGUGAGAUAACAGCCCACCAAGGCAACGAUGGGUAGCCGGUCUGAGAGGAUGAACGGCCACAUUGGGACUGAGACACGGCCCAGACUCCUACGGGAGGCAGCAGUGGGGAAUAUUGGGCAAUGGAGGAAACUCUGACCCAGCAAUGCCGCGUGAAUGAUGAAGGUCUUUUGAUUGUAAAGUUCUUUAGUUUCGAAGGAAUAAAUGACCUAGAAAAGAAUAAG